GUGAAGUCAAAAAUGUUUUAACUUUCAGCCAUUUCUUCAAAAUAUUUUUCUAAAUUCCAAACAUUUUCCAAAAUUUUUAUAAAUAUUAACUAUAAAUUGCCUGAAUCUCAUCAUUUUCCUACAAAAAGCAUCGUUGGAAAUGUGAUUUAUCACGUAAUAUUUUACAACUAAACGGGCACUUCUGCCCCCCCUGCCGCCCCUAGCAAAAGGCAAGGGGGGCAGCCGCCCCCCCCAGUUCUGGCGUCCCUGAAUAUAGCCUUGCGAAAUUUGCAAUUUUCACUGUCAUUUUAGAUUACAAACGGGAAAUGGUUACCAUUUUUCCAAAAUUUUGAUCUUAACU